rnacentral:ncRNA from 1 species
UCCGUGGCGACGCGGAAUCUGAAGGAAGCAGUAGGCAAAGCCUUGAUCCGAGGUACACGAAUCACAUUCGAGGUUGUUCUGUCUGGAUAAGAUUGCAAAACAAAUCAAAGUCCAAAAUAUCUCCGGAGGAUAGGGCAAUAAAUGUGGCGGAUAGAUGAGGUGAAAGUGGGCGGA